AACUGAUACUACCUGCGGGAACCUGCGGAAGGAUCAUUAACCUUUCAAAAAACAGGGUGCGUCGCGGCCCCCCUCCGGGGGCGGUUUGGGGUCCUCCCCUUCACGCGCGCACGACUGCAUCCUUACUUUACGAGCACCUUCUGUUCUCCCUCGGCGGGGCAACCUGCCGUUGGAACCGAAUAAACCCUUUUUUGCAUCCAGCAUUACCCGUUCCGAAACAAACAAUCGUUACAACUUUCA
rnacentral:misc_RNA from 1 species